UCCAGAAUUUUGAUGCUGGAAUCUGGUGGUUGGUGUCUACUACAGGCUGCCAGAUCAACAGGAGCCGACUGACGAAGCGUUCUUCCUCCAACUCCGGGAGGCUUCGUGCUCACAGGCU